rnacentral:sRNA from 1 species
GACAACCUUAGAAAGCACUGAGGGAAAAUUUGAUAGAUUCAUUUGUAUACAUUCAGAUUUGAAGACUUCUGCUCCAAUUUCAACGUCACCAUAUAAAACAAAUAAUGUUUCUGCUUCUUAAACGGUUUAUGCAGUCCUGAGAAUUUGGAUGCAGCAGACCCUGCUUUGUUAUGAUGGUUAAUUAAUUCAGCUCUUCUGGAGAUAAUGAUGAAUCCUUGCUCUGACACCAGAGACAAAAAUUCCAACAGAUUACUCCUCUGUCUGCUGCACUUGGUGGGAUUCCAUGGAGCCAGCCCAGCACUAGUGGGAAAGAAAUAAAGAGGCACUGCCUGUGGCAGGCCAGAUCUCCGCA